rnacentral:tRNA from 1 species
UGUUGAGUAGUGUAACGGCUAGCAUAUCAGUCUUUGACACUGAUGGUUUUGGUUCGAAUCCAAACUCGACAG